UUUACCUCAGCACUUUCUGAGGAGGGCCUUGGAGGCAGGAAGGACUGCCAGGAGGGCAAGGCCCUUGUCGGCAUCGGGAAGUACAAGUGGGACUCACUACAGGACCUGUAUGAGGCUACGGGUGCGGACAGGAUAAAGUAAGGGGCACGCAUCUCUUGUGUUUUCUAUGUUCAUCUCAGUGUGUUUUAUGCAACAUUUUACAUCUGAAACGUUCCCUCUGCUGUGUCUCACACAGAUAUAUGUCAGGAGCUUGAGGGCGCAGACACCCCGUUAUCCUGGGAGUGCAAUGGCCGCCUUGAUUGGCUACAUUCAGCGCAUAGACCAGGAGGGGGUAGCUGCUGUGGCCAGGCCCGCCCCAGCCAGCACCACCCCUGCCAACACCAUCCGGCCCAAGAGUGCGGCUACGUAAGUGUAGGGGCCUGACCCUGAUUGUUACAUGUUAUUUGAACGAACGCAUUCAUUUUGGGGGUAAUUGCUUUUCUUUUAAUGAACUUAAGUUGUAUUGAUAUUUUAUUGUUUGGAUUGUUUAUUUUUGUAAGAUAAACAAAAUGUAUGGACUAGAAAAAAAUAAAAUAAAAUCACCUUUGGGGAACUGCCUGUUCAGAACUGGAAGCCACCAUGCACGGCUAGGUGUGGAGGUGGGUCCUUGUGUUUUUAGAACUGGAGGCCACCAUGGACGGCUACAUGUCAGGUGUGGAGGUGGGUCCUUGUGUGUUCAGAACUGGAGGCCACCAUGGACGGCUGGCUACAUGUCAGGUGUGGAGGUGGGGGCUUGUAUUUCCCAGCAUUAUUUGUUUUUUGUGUGUGUUACAACUCUGUAAACUGUGUGUUUGACUAAUAAAAUGACAUAUUUACUUGUCUUUUUAUUUGUUGAACUUUAAAAGAAGAGUGUAUGACAAUAAAUCAAAAUGAAUUUAAGGGAGAAAAAGUGCUCGCAUUCAAUUAUUUAUUUCACAGGGAAUGUCAUAUGUGAAACAACCCAUCCUACUGUACAAGUUAA
rnacentral:lncRNA from 13 species